GCGUAUCUCCUGAUGAAACCAAUACGGAUGUAAAUCACAACUUGUCCGAGAGCGCUUAAACUCGUGUGGAUAUUUCCGUUGCCUUCCUUCUGAUCUUCGUGCU
rnacentral:snoRNA from 1 species